ensembl:lncRNA
UUGCUGCAGGCCAGUCACAAACUAAUGAGACUCUCACUCUCUCCAUUAGUAAAACGGAGAUUCAGACCCAUCAGGACAGUCCCAAAAUGACCACACAACUGACCACAUAAAAUAAGAAUUCAGCAACAUCAGAAUGAGAGCACGGGGUCUGAAUCGGGCUGGAUGCUCAGCAGCCACCGAAGAGUUGAGCGCAUCUCUUUUGGCACACUGACAGGACAUAGCAAGGGAGCAGUGAUAAAUCCAUCACGUUUGUCAAAUGGAAAGGUACAGAAGGACGUGCUCUGUAGAUUAUUCCAGCAGAUAAGUUUCUUUCUGAGAAACAAGCUCAACCAGGAGAUGUUGCCAUGAAAUCUGGACCUUUUAAGCACAGCAAGCAGCAGGUCUGUUUUAUCUGGUGAGAGCACAGCAUGAAGUGGGCUGCUGAGACUACUGGCAUCCAGCAUGACGCCCUCUACAGUCCCAGGCAAUGCAGUGAGUAAAUGGCUCUUGGCACAGGCUGGCUUUUGCUGUGCUGCGGGUGGUAACCUAUUGUCUGAAGUGGGUUCUUCAUCUACUGACCUUUCCAGCAGCUGUUCUGGAAUAGCACAGAAGUGAUGAAAUCAAUGGGAAUGUUACAAAAGCACAGCUUCCACCGUAUGUUUCCUGGAGCUUGCUCUGACACCAGUAUGCCAUGUGUCCUACUCUCCCCAUGUUGCCACACAAACCUCGCGAUGCCUUGGCUCUCUGCACAGUCCUGAAACUGUUGUACACAUUGCUGGGGAUCCUACUUUCACAUGGGAGCCGCUUCUGAAAAAUCCCUAAUGCUAAGGGUACAGCUGCUUGCAGCCACAGCACUCAGAAGAGGCACGAUAUUUUUCAUAAUUUGCGGACCAUGUAUGCAUACUUUAGACAUUUCUCUAUCUGCAGAACAUGUGGAUCUGAACUCUGUCUCCCACUGUACAUUCCAGUGCCUGAAUGUUAAGGGUUCCUCUUCUCAGUCAACCAGUGCAAUGUAUGGACCAGAUCUCUGUGCUGAGUCUAAAAUAAUCUAUUUGGUUCUAUCUCCACCCUACUAAGUAACUGUAGAUGAGAUGCAUUAAUGGUCUUUGCCUCACUUUUUUUUCUCUGUAAAACUGUGGUAGUGAUCCUGGUUUAUUUGUAGAAAACAAAGUUCAACUGAUGAGAAGAGCUAUCAAAGAGCUAAGUGUUGUCAUUACCUGAGCGAUCUUUUCAUUUCUCCAUUAAUCUUGUAAAAGACACAAGUACUCUGCUUACCAAACCUCAUCUACAAGACGGUACAAUGGUGAGGACUCAUUACAAAUUAUAGAAAAAAAAUUCUGGAAAACAGAUCCUUUUGUCUUGCCCCAGUGGUGCCAAUUGGACUAGGAGGCUUUUUAAAAUGAGAAUUUAUCUUUACAAAGAUUUGUAGCCAAGCCUUUCCAGUUUGUUAAAAUGUAAUUAAUGUCUGCUUGUUAAUAUGAUGUUCAUUGAUUUUUAAAGUACACAGACUUCAAAGCAGAAAAUAAAUAAAUAAAAAGAGAGAUAAUUCAAAC